UACGGGGGGGGUAAGCGUUGUUCGGAAUUAUUGGGCGUAAAGAGCUCGUAGGCGGUGUGUCGCGUCGGUCGUGAAAACUUGGGGCUUAACCCUGAGCUUGCGGUCGAUACGGGCAUCACUUGAGUUCGGCAGGGGAGACUGGAAUUCCUGGUGUAGCGGUGAAAUGCGCAGAUAUCAGGAGGAACACCGGUGGCGAAGGCGGGUCUCUGGGCCGAUACUGACGCUGAGGAGCGAAAGCGUGGGGAGCAAACAGG
rnacentral:rRNA from 1 species